UCAUGAACAAAAUUAGCCAGUUUCUAAAAAAUUAUGUUAAAUUAGUAUAUGAAUAAAUUUGUUGACUACUAAACAGUUUUUUUAUUACUUUUUGCAGAUGUCACUAGAAUACAUAUUAUCUCCAAAUCAAUGGUUCUCUGCUACAAUUACUCAAUUUGCAAAUCAUCAAUAUUUUAAAGAUUUUGUAGAACUUAUAAAUGCAGAUGAUCAAGCCUCUUUAUUGUGCAGUCCAUUCCAUGGAUUCAUUUGUGGAAAUAUGAAUAAGAAGCAAAACGACAAAUUUAGCAGCAAGUUAACACAUGAGUUCAUAAUGAGACUUAUAAACUGUGGUAAAAAUAACGAAGUUUGGGUACAACUAGACGAUCGUGUAGCUCGUUUUGGCCUACAAGAAUUUUGUCUCAUAACUGGAUUGCCAUGUCAUGAACCUACUGUUGAUCUAAAUUUUAGUAAUACUCGACUUAGAGAUGAAUACUUCGAUGGUUCAAAACGAAUAACUAUGAUAAGACUUUCUGAAGUAUUUCAUAUAUGUGAAGAUCGAGAAGAUAAAUUUAAGUUGGGAUUAGUUAUGUUUGUCGAAUGUGUUUUAAAACCAACUGGAAGACACAUCGAUUACAGAACUCUUGGAAUGGUUGAACAGCUUGAUGAAUUUCUUAUGUAUCCAUGGGGACGUAAGGCAUAUUUUGUUCUAUUACAUUCAUUACAAGAAUCACAGCUUGAAAGAAUACGAAGAAUGCAACAAAAUAACCAAGCAGAAUGUAAAUAUUCAUUGCAUGGUUAUCCACUUGUAUUCCAGGUAUUUUUCUUACAUUUAUUCCCUAUUCGAUAUAAUUUAAUCAUGUAAAAACGUUAAUAUUCCUUUUUACUUAUAUUUCAGUAUUGGAUAUACGAAGCUUUUCCUAAAAUUGGACGACAAUUUGGUCACCGUAUCCGUACAAGUUUAAAAUGUCCACGAAUGCAUAAAUGGCAGCCUCAAAUGGUAUUAGCGGAAAAUGUUAUUAAAGAAUUUUUAGCUACUGAAGAGGUAUGUUCAUUUCAGUAUACAAUUAAAUAUAUGUUUUAUUCUUUAUAAAUAAAUUUUAGAGAAUACGUCUGAUAUUUUAUUACAAUAUUACAAUUAUAGAUUACAGUAAUUGCAACGUUAAAUCCUACUGAAGCAGAAUUGGAAACAUUCUGGUAUACAACUCUUUCACUGCCAAUUGACAACCAACAUUGUACACUAGACAGCAUUGUCAAUGGUGAAUUGGAAAAUACAACAGAACAAAUUCGAGCAUAUAACAUACAUCCACAAGAAACAACUGUACACAGUUCAAAUAGAAUUGAAUCUACUUCUUCCGGUACUUCAGACUAUGUAACUAAACAAGAUAUGGAACAGAUGUUCAAUGUACACAGACAAGAUGUCUUUGGUUUCUACGACAGCUUGAAAACACAGAUGAUUCAAGAAGCAACAAAGCAAGAAGCUCAGUAUCAUACGAUUCUUGAAAAUCAACAAACUCUCUGUCAGACACUUCUUGACAAUCAAAAACAAUUUUUUGAAGUGCAGCAAAAAAAUCAACAGGAACAUUUUCAGGGCAUACAAUCUGACAUGCAUUCUUAUGUGGAUACCAGUUUCGGUUUAAUGAAGUCUUACAUUGAUGAACAAAAUCGAAAUAUGCAGAAUCAGUUAACCAACUGGAAAUCACAUAUGGAAUCAAUUGUAGCCUCUGUACAACAUGAUUUGCCCCCUCCAACAAAUCAAGCUGAAUUUGAAAUGCCUUCAACAUCUGAACAUGCAGAAGACGUCGAAAGAUCAACAAAAGAAAAAAAAGGUAAGCAAAAAGAGACACAAUCUCCAUCACCAACGGCAACGAAUACUUUAGAAGAUUAUAACAUCGACAAAUACAAAAACAUUAGAGAAUGGAUAUCAGAAAAUCCAUCAGAGUAAGAUAUUAAAUUUAACUUCGUUAACUUAAAUAUUCUAUUUCGUAUUUUACUUAUUUAAUAACAAUUUCAUUUUUUCUUAUAUAGUGCAUACUGAAAAGAUGAAAUCGGCAAUCAAUACGCAAGACAUUCGCUGAUGAAUAUAAUAAAUCAAAUUAAAGAUAUAAAUAUUGUGGUAAGUCAACUUUAGCAAUCUUAAUUAAUUUUACUUCGUUAUUAAUAUAGCUAAUUUAAAUUUUUUUUACUAGCAUAUUGAUAUAGAAUUAAAGCUGUUGCGAAGACUCAUUCAUGAUACAUCUUCCCCGGUUUCCAAAGAAUAUGCAAUCAUGGACUUUCGAUUCGAGAAUGAGUGUGUUCAUUGGUACACAAUGAUCAAACGAGGAGCAACCGCUUUUGUGAAUAAUUUUCAGGCAUUAGAGCAAUACACAAAAGGAGAAUUACCUACAUUUGCUCGACCCUGGAUAACAUACAACUAUUUAUUGAUUCCAGUCGCAUAUCCAGACAACAGUUGGUUUAUUUUUCUUGUUGAUUUUGAAAAGUGGAAAUUUCAAGUAUAUGAUUGCAGCCACAACAUUCAUACACCAGAUGCAAUCAAGUUACGUGCAGCCCCAGUUUUUGAUGUAGUACAAUCAUUAUUAAUAGCUACUGACUUUUCUUCGGGAAGCCAAAUUUACGAAAACAUAGAAAUAAACGUAUGAAAUUGGAAAUCAUACCGUAUCUACCUUCUCAAAAUAAUGGGUAAGUAUCUCAACAAUUUACUUUAAUAUUUAUUUUUCUAUUCAAUUUUAUUUUACAUUUAUAGCAUUACUAUAAAAUAACUUCAAACUAUUUUUUCUGUAGGCCAAACUCUGAAGUUCUUCUUCUCAAAUACAUUGAAUGCUUCAUUUUCGGAUAUCCAUUAGAAGCAGUUUCAACUGAGAAAAUACGUUUAUACAAACGAAAAAUUGUCAAAGAUAUCUGUCAAAAUGAAUAUUUUUUCCGUCCAUAUUUUUAUCAUAA
rnacentral:lncRNA from 1 species